rnacentral:rRNA from 1 species
GACGAACGCUGGCGGCGUGCCUAACACAUGCAAGUCGAGCGAGGCCCACCCCUCGGGGUGGUGUCCUAGCGGCGAACGGGUGAGUAACACGUGGGCAACCUGCCCCCGGCUCGGGGAUAACCCCAAGAAAUUGGGGCUAAUACCGGAUAUGACCGCUGACCGCAUGGUCUGGUGGUGGAAAGAUUUAUCGGCUGGGGAGGGGCGCGCGGACUAUCAGCUUGUAGGUGGGGUAGUGGCCUUCCAAGGCGACGACGGGUAGCCGGCCUGAGAGGGUGCGCGGCCAGACUGGGACGUGGGAGGGGAACGAACUCCUACGGGAGGCGGCAGUAGGGAAUAUGGGUAAAUGAGCGGAAGCCUGACGCAGCGACGCCGCGUGGGGGAUGACAGCCUUGUGGUUGUAAACCUCUAUCUGCAGGCACGAAGCCCGCAAGUGGGACGGGACCUGCAUAAGAAGCACCGGCCAACUACGUGCCAGCCGCCGCCGUAAUAC